rnacentral:rRNA from 1 species
AAAAGCGGAGGAAAAGAAACUAACAAGGAUUCCCCUAGUAACUGCGAGUGAAGCGGGAAAAGCUCAAAUUUGAAAUCUGGCAGUCUUUUUUUUCUUCUUUGGCUGUCUGAGUUGUAAUCUAGAGAAGUGCUUACCUGCGCUGGACCAUGUAUAAGUCUCCUGGAAUGGAGCGUCACAGAGGGUGAGAAUCCCGUCUUUGACAUGGACUGCCGGUGUGUUGUGGUGCGCUCUCAAAGAGUCGAGUUGUUUGGGAAUGCAGCUCUAAAUGGGUGGUAAACUCCAUCUAAAGCUAAAUAUUGGCGAGAGACCGAUAGCGAACAAGUACCGUGAGGGAAAGAUGAAAAGGACUUUGGAAAGAGAGUUAAACAGUAUGUGAAAUUGUUGAAAGGGAAACGCUUGAAGUCAGUUAUGUUGGCUAGGGAUCAGCCUGGCUAUUUUUUGCUGGGUGAAUUUCCUAGUCUGACAGGCCAACAUCAGUUCUGACUGCCAGAAAAGAGCAAAGGGAAUGUGGCACCUUUGGGUGUGUUAUAGCCUUUUGUCAUAUGUGGCAGUUGGGACUGAGGGAUGCAGCAUGCCGUGAGGCUGGGUUUCGACCACGUUCAUGCUUAGG